rnacentral:rRNA from 1 species
GGAUUAGAUACCCUAUUAUUUUAAAUGUAAAUUGGUUAAACUUGAGUAGUAUUAGGUAAGGUCUUUAAACUUAAAGAAUUUGGCGGUAUUUUAGUCUAUUUAGAGGAAUCUGUUUUGUAAUCGAUAAUCCACGUUGGAACUUGCUUAUUUUAAUUAGUUUGUAUAUCGCUGUAAGUGAAAAUUUUUUUAGAAGUGAAAAUUUCUUAAUAUAUUAUUAUUUAAAAUAUCAGGUCAAGGUGCAGCUUAUAAAUAAGUAGGAAUGGAUUACAUUAAUUUGAAAUUAAAUGGAUUAUUAAGUGUAAUCUUAUUAUGAAGGUGGAUUUAAUAGUAAUUUUAUGAAGAUUAUUAUUAUAAAAUUAGCUCUAAGAUAUGUACAUAUCGCCCGUCACUCUCAUUAUAAAAUGAGAUAAGUC